GGAAGGGUGGCUGAGCGGCCGAAAGCGCUGGUUUGGAGUACCAGUGUGUCGAAAGGCACCCAGGGUUCGAAUCCCUGCCCUUCCG
rnacentral:tRNA from 1 species